GGGCAGGUAGCUCAACGGCAGAGCAGGUGCCUUUUAAGCACUUGGUUCAGGGUUCGAAUCCCUGCCUGCCCA
rnacentral:tRNA from 3 species